rnacentral:tRNA from 3 species
GCCCGGAUGGUGGAACGGUAGACACAAGGGACUUAAAAUCCCUAGUCCGAAAGGGCGUGCGGGUUCAAAUCCCGCUCCGGGUACCA